rnacentral:lncRNA from 1 species
CCACUUCCAUUUUCAGGAAUAUCUAUCCACUGCUAAAACUAAAAAAUCAACUAUACUUUCAACAAGAAAUAUGAACUAUAAUUUGGAACAUAGGAAAAAUGAAAGUAAGCAUAUUUUUGUGAGAUAAAAGGGAGUAUAACAUUUCUUAAGUGCUUGUGGUCACUUUCACAGUAUUUCUAGUGCACAUAACUAAAUAAAAACUUAAUAAUUUUGUUUCAUAUAAUUCUCUUAUUACUUUAUUUGCUUAUAAAAACUUUUAUAGCUUAUUUGAAAAGUUAUUCCUUUUUAUUCAUGUUCGUGGUUUUUUUUCCGUAAGCACUUAGCUUCGAC